CCCGCUGAACUUAAGCAUAUCAAUAAGCGGAGGAAAAGAAACUAACAAGGAUUCCCCUAGUAACUGCGAGUGAACCGGGAAAAGCUCAAAUUUUGAAUCUGGCGGUCCUUCGGGCCGUCCGAGUUGUAAUCUAGAGAAGUGCUUUCCGCGCUGGACCGUGUACAAGUCUCUUGGAAUAGAGCAUCAUAGAGGGUGAGAAUCCCGUCUUUGACACGGACUACCAGUGCUUUAUGUGAUGCGCUCUCAAAGAGUCGAGUUGUUUGGGAAUGCAGCUCAAAAUGGGUGGUAAAUUCCAUCUAAAGCUAAAUAUUGGCGAGAGACCGAUAGCGAACAAGUACCGUGAGGGAAAGAUGAAAAGAACUUUGGAAAGAGAGUUAAACAGUACGUGAAAUUGUUGAAAGGGAAACGCUUGAAGUCAGUCACGUUGGCCAGAAAUCAACUUGUAACAGGGCGUAAUUUCUGGUUUUACGGGUCAACAUCAAUUUUGAUUGUUGGAUAAAAGUCAAUAUUUAUGCGUUUUCGGACGUGUAGCCUUUGAUUGCAUACAAUGGUUGGGAUUGAGGAACUCAGCACGCCGCAAGGCCGGGUAACUUGUUACCACGUAACGUGCUUAGGAUGUUGGCAUAAUGGCUUUAAUCGACCCGUCUUGAAACACGG
rnacentral:rRNA from 1 species